UACGUAGGGGGCGAGCGUUGUCCGGAAUUACUGGGCGUAAAGCGCGCGUAGGCGGGCGGGGGCAUCCCUCGUGAAAGCCCCGGGCUCAACCCGGGGAGGGCGGGGGCGAUGGCCCGCCUGGAGGGCGGUAGAGGCAGGUGGAAGGCCCGAAGUAGUGGUGAAAUGCGUAGAGAUCGGGCGGAACACCGGUGGCGCAGGCGGCCUGCUGGGCCGCGCCUGACGCUGAGGCGCGAAAGCCAGGGGAG
rnacentral:rRNA from 1 species